rnacentral:rRNA from 1 species
GACGAACGCUGGCGGCGUGCUUAACACAUGCAAGUCGAACGAAGUGGCGAACGGGUGAGUAACGCGUAAUCAACCUGCCCUUCAGAGGGGGACCACAGUUGGAAACGACUGCUAAUACCGCAUACUGAAGGAGGGGACUGCGUCUGAUUAGCUAGUUGGAGGGGUAACGGCCCACCAAGGCGAGGAUCAGUAGCCGGGCUGAGAGGAUGAACGGCCACAUGUGGACUGGGGAUCGGCCCAGACUCCUACGGGAGGCAGCAGUGGGGAAGCUUCCGCAAUGGACGGAAGUCUGACGGAGCAACGCCGCGGGAGUGAUGACGGCUUUCGGGUUGUAAAGCUCUGUUAAUCGGGACGCGGUACCGGAAUAGAAAGCCACGGCUAACUACGUGCCAGCAGCCGCGGUAAUAC